rnacentral:rRNA from 1 species
GAUGAACGCUGGCGGCGUGCUUAACACAUGCAAGUCGAACGGUGAAGGUGGGAGCUUGCUCCUGCUGGAUCAGUGGCGAACGGGUGAGUAACACGUGAGUAACCUGCCCCGGACUCUGGGAUAAGCGUUGGAAACGACGUCUAAUACCGGAUACGAGACGAGAAGGCAUCUUCAUCGUCUGGAAAGAUUUUUUGGUCUGGGAUGGACUCGCGGCCUAUCAGGUUGUUGGUGAGGUAAUGGCUCACCAAGCCUACGACGGGUAGCCGGCCUGAGAGGGUGACCGGCCACACUGGGACUGAGACACGGCCCAGACUCCUACGGGAGGCAGCAGUGGGGAAUAUUGCACAAUGGGCGAAAGCCUGAUGCAGCAACGCCGCGUGAGGGACGACGGCCUUCGGGUUGUAAACCUCUUUUAGUAGGGAAGAAGCGAAAGUGACGGUACCUGCAGAAAAAGCACCGGCUAACUACGUGCCAGCCGCCGCAGUAA